CGCCUCGGCUAAUACCUGGUUUGGAUGACGGUACCGGAAGAAGAAGCACCGGCUAACUACGUGCCAGCAGCCGCGGUAAUACGUAGGGUGCGAGCGUUAAUCGGAAUUACUGGGCGUAAAGCGUGCGCAGGCGGUUUUUUAAGCCAGAUGUGAAAUCCCCGGGCUUAACCUGGGAACUGCAUUUGUGACUGCAAGGCUAGAGUGUAGCAGAGGGGGGUAGAAUUCCACGUGUAGCAGUGAAAUGCGUAGAUAUGUGGAGGAAUACCGAUGGCGAAGGCAGCCCCCUGGGUUAACACUGACGCUCAUGCACGAAAGCGUGGGGAGCAAACAGGAUUAGAUACCCUGGUAGUCCACGCCCUAAACGAUGUCAACUAGGUGUUGGGGGAGGAGACUUCCUUAGUACCGCAGCUAACGCGUGAAGUGACCGCCUGG
rnacentral:rRNA from 1 species